rnacentral:rRNA from 1 species
UACGGGGGGGGCAAGCGUUGUUCGGAAUUACUGGGCGUAAAGGGCUCGUAGGCGGCCAACUAAGUCAGACGUGAAAUCCCUCGGCUUAACCGGGGAACUGCGUCUGAUACUGGAUGGCUUGAGGUUGGGAGAGGGAUGCGGAAUUCCAGGUGUAGCGGUGAAAUGCGUAGAUAUCUGGAGGAACACCGGUGGCGAAGGCGGCAUCCUGGACAGAGUCUGACGCUGAGGCGCGAAAGCUAGGGGAGCAAACAGG